rnacentral:rRNA from 1 species
CAGCUCCAAUAGCGUAUAUUAAAGUUGUUGCAGUUAAAAAGCUCGUAGUUGAAGUUCUGGCUGUUCGAUCCUCGAGCUCUGUAGCCGAGGACUCGACAGUCAUCCGCUUGCAAAUAUAUGUUCGCCUUUAACCGGGCGGCUAUAUGAGUAAGCAAUUUACCUUGAGAAAAACAGAGUGUUCCAGGCAGGUUUGUCCGGAAUGCAUUAGCAUGGAAUAAUAGAAUAUGACUGAAGUCGAUUUAUUGGUUUGAGGCUUUAGUAAUGAUUAAUAGGAACAGUCGGGGGCAUUGGUACUUGACAGUCAGAGGUGAAAUUCUAGGAUUUGUCAAAGACUAACAAAUGCGAAAGCAUUUGCCAAGGAUGUUUUCAUUAAUCAAGAACGAAAGUUAGGGGAUCAAAGACGAUCAGAUACCGUCCUAGUCUUAACUAUAAACUAUACCGACUCGGAUUCAGAUGAAUCAUAAAGUUCAUUUGGGACCGUAGGAGAAAUCAAAGUUUUUGGGUUCUGGGGGAAGUAUGGUCGCAAGGCUGAAACUUAAAGGAAUUGACGGUUUUGCACCACCAUGGAGUGGAGUCUGCGGCUUAAUUUGACUCAACACUGGGAAACUCAUCAGGGCAAGAAGAUUGUAGGAUUGACAGAUUGAGAGUUCUUUCUUGAUUGGUCUAGUGGUGGUGCAUGGCCGUUCUUAGUUGGUGGAGUGAUUUGUCUGGUUAAUUCCGUUAACGAACGAGACCUUAACCUGCUAACUAGUACACAGAUGACAAAUCUGUGAUACUUCUUAGAGGGACUAUGUGAUGUAAUCACAUGGAAGUUUGAGGCAAUAACAGGUCUGUGAUGCCCUUAGAUGUCCUGAGCUGCACGCGUACUACAAUGGUGCUUUCAACGAGCUUUUCCUGAUCCGAAAGGAUUUGGGUAUCUUUUUAGUGAGCACCGUGCUUGGGAUAGAUCUUUGUAAUUAUGGAUCUUGAACUAGGAAUUCCUAGUAAGCGCGCGUCAUCAGCGCGUGCUGAUUACGU